ACACACACACACACACACACACACACACACACACACACACACACACAGACACAGGCAGGCUGGACAGCUGAGCUAGGAGCGGCAGGGGCUUUUCACUUUCAUGAUUUUUCUCUUGUAAAUACCAAAGACUCCAAAUGCUGAAAGUGAUUUUGAACUUUUAUAGUAAGCAGCUGAUAAAAUAUAGUAAGAAUUCAAAUUUGACGGAUUUGUUUUUUCUAAUUGCGAUGAUCUGUCAGAUGGUUUGCACGGCCAAACGUUUAAGUAUCCAAGUCAAUAAGGGCAGGUACAAGUCAUUGGUGUUGAAGUCAACGUUCAAUGACGUCAGAAUGGAUCUGAUUCAUCACACCUGUGCGACAAGCUGAAUGAAAACAAACUAAAGGAUUUCAGCUCUGGAAGAGAGGAACAAAAACGAGUAUUGAGCAUAAUUAGUUGUUUUAUUCCAUCUAACAUAGAGAGAAAGGGUUAAGGUUUAAAAUAUGAAAGAACCCUUUCCACAAGCUGAUCUAUAAUUCCCCACAGAUGCCCCGUUACUGUGUAGGAAACAGGCGCCACUGAUCAUGUGACGAGCUUGUUUAUCUGGGAUUCAUGGAGCUUCAUAGAAAAGGAUUUGGACCGGAAGUAGAACCCUGUUCUUUGUCUGGGACAAACUGAGCAGACUUCCACUCUCCCGAUGAAGAGUGUGUUGUUGUUGUUUUUUAUCGCUGGAAUGAUUUUCCACUUUGUUUGUUACCAGGUGACCGACCACAAAGGCACAGCGAUGAGCUGUUCGAGGCCGAGUGACGAACAGGCAUCCGGAGCCGUGCUCAGCGCCACACUCAUCCUCUACGGCACCUACCGCCCACGCCGGGCCGCGCACGAUGGACCCCUGCAGAGCAUUGUGUCCAUGGGGCUGCGUCACCCCGUCCCUCACAGGGAGGCGCACCGACCUCUGGAGCUGAUUCAAUGGGUCUACCAAAUGGAGAGAGACAGGAAGGUGCGCGCUGCCGAUAUCAGUGUCCCAGCCAGACACAAGAUGUGGAAGGUCCCUGGGGAUUUAGGCCUGGAUAAUCCCGCCCUCAACAAGCUCUUGACCUCCAGUCCGGCGUUCCAGGAGGGACUUCAUCAAAGUAAAAAGUCGGUGGGGCUUAUUCUCUUAAACGACAGCAGCAGAAGAAGAAUAAGACGCAAAAAGACGACAUCGUUAAAAGAGCGCCAGUCAAAUCUGAAACGUUACAUCCGACAGACGCCCUCCACCGAGUCACGACCUUCAGCUGUGACGACGGAGCUGCAUGGGACCAACACCAUCAGGCGUGAUGUGGACAGAGAAAACGGAUCUUUACCAUCAAAGAAUCUCCAGGAUGUCGUCAGCAGUCCGACGCUUCAGAUCCGGGAGGAGGAGAAGCUGUGAGCCGUGAGGAGGGGAGGAGGGGACAGUUGCACUGCUGAUCCCGGUGCUCCGUCUCCCCAUCCUGCACUCCGGCUCUCCGCUUCCACGGGAGCCUCAACUCGCACCUCUCCAACAAAGAGAGUAGUGUUUGUGGAGACUUCCCCGCGGCCAAUCAAUGCGUCGUUACCCCUGGCAACCACGUCCAUCAUCCCUUGACGUCCAAUGAGCUGCGGGGGCGUGGCGGAGUCCAGGUGCGCCUCGGCGUCCACUUGGCAGAGUGCCUGAGAGCCGCCUGUGGGCAGGAGAGGAUCUGUCAAAUGCGAGGUUCCUUUAAUAACAGCGA
ensembl:lncRNA